rnacentral:lncRNA from 1 species
CUGUCACUAAGGUGACAGUAAGGACAAGAGUACUGCGACACUGGGAGGCUGCAUGCAAAAAUGAUGGGAGGCCCAGCUGUACCUGGAAGCUACAUGAUGUAACCCCUGAUCUGCUCUACAGAUCUUCAUUUUGUGCGGCUGUCUUCCUAGUGACAGCCACAUCACCUAUGACAACAAGUUCUCCCUGACUCUCCUUUAGCCUUGCUUCUCAGUCUUGAGAUGACGAGCCUAGGGGAGGGCCUCUACAGAUAAGUCAGUGAGUACCUGCGGACCACUGCCUUUGCAUCUCCUUAGGAUUGUGUUCUAACUGUGUGAUGUCUGAGAGAGAUGGACUCCCAGUUCUUGCCAUGCAGGCUCCAGUCCUCCAGUAGCAUCAUGGAAGUCAUUGUUCCCUUCACAGGCCUGACUUCAUUCUUACCCAAGAGGAGUUAGAAUGAAGAUUGGCUCUGAGAUGUGACCCCAGCUUCUAGACUGUCUUUGUGCAGUGGAGUGAUCUGGGCUUUGCUCAGUGGCCAUUCAAUAAGCAUAGAUGUGCAAGGCCGUCUCUAGGAGCUGGAUCCCAGGAUCAUUGGUGUGAUGGACAAGCUCUGCAGAAGGAGCCGGCACUCUGGGAGAGUCCAGGACAUUCAGGAAGACAAAGGGGGUGAGGCAAGUCCACAUCAAAACAGGUAAAAGCAGUAAUGAAGCUGGGAGCUUCCCUCCUAGUACAGGUUGUUGGGAAACACACUCCCUGAGAAGUCAGCUCUGCUGGGCUCAGCCAGGGCUGAAAGAAGACAUGAGACAGAGGGCCAUGAGAGCAGCCCUGUCACAGGCAGCCAUCAUGAAUGACUGAACCUGGGAAGGGCAUGUGAUAGUGUGAGUUUUAUGGACACCCUAAAGGAAAUUUAUAGUAAUUCAUCUCUUGGAGAAAUGGUGUUCUCCACUCAAAUCUCAGGCCCUGGGAGUGUUGGGUGUUGCAACAUACCAAAGGCCUGGAGGGUCCACUCCUCUUAUGAUGGUGAUGGGAAUGUCAGAAGAUGAGGAGGCCAUCUUGAUAGGAGGACAAUGUUAGAAUCCCAGAAACCAGAGGCCAUGUUCCUGCAUGGAGCUCCAGCAUUCUUCACAUAGGCAUGAUGAAGGUAAUGAGUGCAGAUACAAACUGUCACCAUGGGAUUCCUGGUUGUCCCUCAGCACUUUAGCCUGCUUUCUCUCCCACGCACCACUUAGUUUACUUGAGCACACCUUGUCACUGCCCAGGAUUUUUUCAUAACUUUGAAAAUAAGGCAGAGUGGUACAGGUAGGAGAUCCCUGAGUCCUCUGUGCUCUGUCCUUCUGUCACUGUGGUCUCUUCAGAUGCCCCCGACUAUGAUUCUGAAGUUAAUAAAGCACUUGAGGGUCAUGGGGCUUUCCUGACAGGAACCACACAAGCUGGAGCCAAAUCCAGAAGCUGUGCACCAAGUCCUUCCAUGUUUGUGGCUGCUGUGGACAGUCUGAACUGCAAGUCUGGCCCUGCUCUGUCACUGAAGGCACAACCUCUUGAACUCUCUCACUUUGAACUGUAGUAGUAGCUAGUGCCGCUGCUGAUCCAACAAUCUAGUUCAAUACGAGACAACAUAAGCUUUCCAACAUCCAACCUGGAACAUUCUGUCUCAGAGACGACAGUGUGUACACUUGAAAGGACAGACCAGGUGAGGAAGACGGAGAGGUCCUAUGUGGCUUUCUCACAGUGUGCUUGAUCUCAGCCCACUUCCCAAAAUUCCUUCAGUCCCAGCCCAAAUUAGGAGUAGUUCUAAGAAGAAUAGAGCCCUGAAGUGCUGAGAGGAACUGAGAGAUCCCUGGCUGCCAUGUUCCAUGUAGAGACUCUUCAGGAUCUUCUGUGAGGGCUCAUCCCUCUUCAUUCUUUGGACGUCAUGUGCUAUGAAUGCUUACCCUCUGACACUGUUCACUUUGCAGACCUGCCUGACACUUUAGGAAAGUUCUCCCACUCUGCCUGACUUCUGGGUCACACCUUCCAUUUAUAUAAAGUGUGCUUAGCGGGGUCAAAGAGGAACAUGAUUAACACAGUGCAUUGAGUAGCUAGCCUUCUGUAAUGCCUAGAGAAAGCACACGAUGGGCCCCUGGAAACAGUCAGCUCUGUUUCUCUCAGUGGCCUAGACUUGACGAUCAAGCAUCCAUCAGCUUAUUAGAAAGACACGUUUCUGGACUUCCACCUUCAGUUCCUAGGUCUUUUCUGAAUGGCGUUUAUCAAGUCUUGGCAUGAAUCUCUAGGAACAUGGGAAUAUCCUGCAAAGUUCUAUCCCCUAUGCACGGUCUCUGCUUUCCUUUCCUUCUGGGAACUUAACCCCCAUGACUCUCUUUGUGAAGUGCUCAUCCUUUGGUCUGCUCACAUAUCUUCUUUUCAGAGUCUCAGCGCAGUGUCGGGAUGUCAGGAAGCUGUGGGCUGGGUCAUGGCGAAGGUACUGAAGACUCUGUCCUUCUCAUCCCAUGAUACUGCAUCCUCUCACUUCUCCCUUGCAGAUUGUUGUGUUUUCCCACAAGGAUGCUGCUCACUAAUUUGCCCUCUGUGGAAUGGUGGCCCCAGGGAAGCAAGGACAGGAUCACCACAGGCUUGUCUCUCAAUAGGAUUGGUACUUCCUGGAAGGUCACUGGUGGAGGGAUGUUCAGGAUCUCUGACCGCCCCCUUCCUCGAUGAAAGGCUAGUGACUGCUCAGCCUUUCAUGUUAUUUUCCUUCUGCUAGCCUGUGCUUCUCUGCGUAGGUCCAAUUCAGUGCUACCAGGUAUGUAUGAGACCUGCAGACCUUACCCGAGUUUUUGCAGUUGGUAUGAUGGCUCUGAGAUCAUGUAACCUUGCCAAACAUUUUAAAUAUUAAUAUUUACUCACUUACUUAACCACUCACUGUCUCCUCUACCCUGUCUGUCUGUCUGUCUGUCUCUUCAGAUCACCCUUCGUAUGGCCCCACUUAAAGACAGAACAGUAAUUCACCAUGGACCUCAUCUUUUAGAGGCAGCCUCUUGACACAAACAGCUUGGCCCUGAUGAUGUCCCCAGCUUAGCAAUGGACUACAGCCAAGAAGCCUGGCCACAAUAAGGACGGAUCACAUCCUUAGGGAGGACAUCUAUGAAAAGCAUCUAUGCACAGGAGAAAAGUGCAAGGACCGAAGUCUCAUCAGGAGUUCCAGGACACAGAGAGCCUGACAGACUCAGGCCAGAGGUUACCUCCAGAGUCCUAGAAGAGGAAGAGGGUCCAACUCUACAGCAGCCUCUUGCUGGUGCUGUUGCAACCAGGACUAUGAUUGUGAGACUUGUGUCUCUGUGGAUACCAGGUUCAGGCGUCUUGUGCCCAUGCAUCUACGGACACCUCUCAUUCCUCAUUUGGUAUAACUUUGCAAGUCCUGAGAUUAAGGCUAUCAUGUACUGAUGGUGUCCCACUUGACACAUAGGCUACAGAUGACAUUAAAUCUGCAAUUCUCU